UACGAAGGGGGCUAGCGUUGCUCGGAAUUACUGGGCGUAAAGCGCACGUAGGCGGUCUUGUAAGUUAGAGGUGAAAGCCCGGGGCUCAACCCCGGAAUUGCCUUUAAGACUGCAUCGCUUGAAUCCGGGAGAGGUGAGUGGAAUUCCGAGUGUAGAGGUGAAAUUCGUAGAUAUUCGGAAGAACACCAGUGGCGAAGGCGGCUCACUGGACCGGUAUUGACGCUGAGGUGCGAAAGCGUGGGGAGCAAACAGG
rnacentral:rRNA from 1 species